GAUGAACGCUGGCGGCGUGCCUAACACAUGCAAGUCGAGCGAAGAAUGAGAAGCUUGCUUUUCAUUACUUAGCGGCGGACGGGUGAGUAACGCGUGGGUAACCUGCCCUGUACAGGGGAAUAACAGUUAGAAAUGACUGCUAAUGCCCCAUAAGCCAACGUGAUGGCAUCUUCAUGUUGGAAAAGAUUUAUCGGUACAGGAGGGACCCGCGUCUGAUUAGCUGGUUGGUGAGGUAACGGCCCACCAAGGCGACGAUCAGUAGCCGACCUGAGAGGGUGAUCGGCCACAUUGGAACUGAGACACGGUCCAAACUCC
rnacentral:rRNA from 1 species